UCGUGCUGGGGGUGACCGAACUGCUUCCCUCACUUUCGAUCAGUUGUUGCUCCGCGAGCUAAACGUCGGAUGCGAGAUGUGGGUUCCUGUGUUGCAUACCUAUUGCGACGGAAAUGUGUGCCUUCGGUAGUCCCUUCCAUCACGACGUCCUCUUGGAUGCUCGGUUGGACCGGAUAGUGGGGCUCGUGUUCCACGAACGUCGUCUCAUUCGAUCGUUCGGACGGACCACGAGUGCCUACUCGUUCUCUCGGAUGCGGAACUCUCGCAAUGGGAGUGGGGUCAUUGGCCCUUCUUCCCUAAUCGUUAAGCGUUUAUCGCUUCACCCGAAUGACGAUCUUGCCUUGUCCUUGAUCGCGCGAAGCCCUCGGGCAUCGCGGCGGAUCAUGCUCGGCGGACGUCGUGAAGGAAUGCUACCUGGUUGAUCCUGCCAGUAGUCAUAUGCUUGUCUCAAAGAUUAAGCCAUGCAUGGUAAGUGGAAUCCG
rnacentral:misc_RNA from 1 species